UACGUAGGGGGCUAGCGUUGUCCGGAUUUAUUGGGCGUAAAGAGCGUGUAGGCGGCCAGGUAGGUCUGGUGUGAAAACUCGAGGCUUAACCUUGAGAUGUCAUCGGAAACCAUUUGGCUAGAGUCCGGAAGAGGAAAGUGGAAUUCCUGGUGUAGCGGUGAAAUGCGUAGAUAUGUGGAGGAAUACCGAUGGCGAAGGCAGCCCCCUGGGAUAACACUGACGCUCAUGCACGAAAGCGUGGGGAGCAAACAGG
rnacentral:rRNA from 1 species